CUACGGGUUGCUGCAGUGGGGAAUUUUGGACAAUGGGCGCAAGCCUGAUCCAGCCAUGCCGCGUGAGUGAAGAAGGCCUUCGGGUUGUAAAGCUCUUUCAGGUGGGAAGAAACGGUUAAUGUUAAUAGCAUUGACUACUGACGGUACCACCGGAAGAAGCACCGGCUAAAUACGUGCCAGCAGCCGCGGUAAUACGUAGGGUGCGAGCGUUAAUCGGAAUUACUGGGCGUAAAGGGUGCGCAGGCGGUUUUGUAAGCCAGAUGUGAAAUCCCCGGGCUCAACCUGGGAACUGCAUUUGGGACUGCAAGGCUAGAGUACGGCAGAGGGGGGUAGAAUUCCACGUGUAGCAGUGAAAUGCGUAGAUAUGUGGAGGAAUACCGAUGGCGAAGGCAGCCCCCUGGGUCGAUACUGACGCUCAGGCACGAAAGCGUGGGGAGCAAACAGGAUUAGAUACCCGCGUAGUC
rnacentral:rRNA from 1 species